rnacentral:snRNA from 1 species
AGCAGUUACUACCCUGCUCGCUCUGACAGCACACAUACUAGAGAAGAUUAGCAUGGACCCUGUGCAAGGAUGACACGCAAAUUCAUGAACCAUUCCAUAUUUUU